AGUGAACGCUGGCAGCGUGCCUAAUACAUGCAAGUCGAACGGAGUGGCGCACGGGUGAGUAAUAUAUAGCUAAUCUGCCCCUUGCUGGAGUACAAAAGUUAGAAAUGACUGCUAAUACUCCAUAGCAAGUGAUGAGACUAUAUCGUAUCAGCUAGUCGGUGGGGUAACGGCCUACCUAGGCUAUGACGCGUAACUGGGCUGGGAGGAUGAUCAGUCAGAUUGGAACUGAGACACGGUCCAAAGUCCUACGGGAUGAAGCAGUAGCGAAGAUCGAGGAAUUGGUGAACGCCGGACGCAGCAACGCCGCGUGGAGGAUGGUAGUGGGUGGAGCGAAAACUCCUUGUGUGAGUGAAGCGGGACCUAACGAGUAAGCGCGUGCUAACUCCGUGCCAGCAGCCGCGGUAAUUC
rnacentral:rRNA from 1 species